rnacentral:lncRNA from 10 species
CCUGGGCAGUUUCCAUGGCAACGCCUCCAUGCCUGCCGUAGCAGCUACGUGCUGCCUGGCAUGUGCACUCUGCCAGGUCCCUGGAGGGCACUGCUGUCUCUCACUUGCUCAGGGUUCAGGAGUUGUUAAUCCCGGAUUCAGAUAAUAAUAUCCAAAGGCAAUCAGGGGACAUUGAACCAGCUGGAGCUGAAGGCUCCUCUCUGUGGGCCUUGGAAGGAGGGGCCUCUGCAUUCCUCCGCCUGCCAUAGGCUGGGCCUGCAGCAAGUGCUCAACUACAGUGGGAAGAAUGGCUGAGUGAAGGAGAGACCCUCCCAGACUACAGUAAGUUCCUCUGCUGAUAGAGAUGCAAACAAAUAACAAAGAAGGAGGAGGAGAAUCAAUAUGGAUUGGUUCACAGGACCCACAGCAGAGGGACAGCUGGGUCUUUGAGUGAAGAGCUAAACAGUGGUGAUGUCUGAAUGGUCUUGAGUUUUCAGGAGCAUCUUUCAUUCUAAAGAAGCAACCCUUGAUGGGCUCCUGGACAGCUUCAGGGUGGAAGCCGGUCACCAAAAAGCCCAAGCCGUGAUUAGAAGCUUGGAACUUUCAGCCACACCCCACCCCUAUCCUCCAGGAAAGAAGAGGGGCUAGAGGUUGAAUUAAUAACCAUUCAUGCCUUCUUGAUUAAGCCUAAUAAAAGUCGCCAAAGUACAGGGUUCAGAGACCUGGGUUGGUGAACACAUCUAUGUGCCAGGAAGGUGGUGUGCCCUGACUCACUGGAGACAGAAGCUCCUGCAAUCAGACCCUUCCAGACCUCACCCUGUGUACCUCUUCAUUUGCCUGUUCAUCUGUAUUCAUUAUCAUAUCCUUUAUAAUAAGCCAAUAAACAUAAGUCUCUCUCCAAGUUCUGUGAGUAUAAUUUGUCAGAGCAAAUUAUCA